GCGGUCGUGGCGAAACUGGUAGACGCGUACGUUUGAGGGGCGUAUGACCAUGUCAUGCGGGUUCAAGUCCCGCCGACCGCA
rnacentral:tRNA from 1 species